GACGUAGGGCGCGAGCGUUGUCCGGAUUUAUUGGGCGUAAAGAGCUCGUAGGCGGCUUGUCGCGUCGUUCGUGAAAACUUGGGGCUCAACCCCCAAGCUUGCGGUCGAUACGGGCAGGCUAGAGUUCGGUAGGGGAGACUGGAAUUCCUGGUGUAGCGGUGAAAUGCGCAGAUAUCAGGAGGAACACCGGUGGCGAAGGCGGGUCUCUGGGCCGAUACUGACGCUGAGGAGCGAAAGCGUGGGGAGCGAACAGG
rnacentral:rRNA from 1 species